UAGAUUAUAAAAUUAUACUAGUAUUGUGUACUAUAAAAAUCCUUACUAGGUGGUAUUUGCAUCUCUUCCCUAUGAGUUGGUAACAUUAAAAAAACAACUGUCGAAGUCAGACGAGUGUUGGUCGAGUCUACUGUCAACUACUGUGUUUGCGAUUGAGUGUUUUAGACAAGAAAUAUGCCCAGAUGCCCAGGAUAUUGAUUACAGGGUACACCAAAUUUGGUCAACUUUCAUCAUGAGAUGCUAUAGUUCAGCUAUAGAGAGGACACAGAGAGUAAUUACAAAAAAAAACGAAUUACUAAACUGCCAGUAGAUGUCCGACAGGAGCUUACGGACAGAAAGCGGCAGGCGCAAUUAGAUUUAGCAAUAAGGCCGCCUUUUGUCUCUAGUGUCUCGAUUUAUUUGUUUGGUACGUCAUUUUGUGCAAUCAAGUAUAUUGUAUUGCAAGACUGUAAUUUUAAAUUCUAAUAAAAAAUAUAUAUUUUUA